rnacentral:lncRNA from 1 species
GUUAGCAUAAUCUUGAUUGUUAGGUUUGGAUAGUAGUGUUUGUGUUAGACUAAGUAUUAGACGUGUAGGAUUAGCAGCCGUGGCUAAGUAGUACUCCAUGUACUAGUAUAGUAGCCCGGCUAGGAUUUGUACAUUGUCUAGUACGUGUCGUAGGAGUUUGAGUCUGGUUAGAAGUCCAAGUAGAAGUACUAGUAGGUUUCGGCGUAGCUGGUCGUGGCUUGGCUGUGUCAUAUAUAUACACAGUCAAGGCGUCAGAUUGAAACGUGGUAUUGAGAAAAAGAGAAAAAGAAAUAAAGAUAAGAAGGGGCACGAUACGUGCCCUUGGCCAAAGUUUUUGCGCGUGUGUGUUCAUUGUGAUUUGAUGUGAUCGAUCCUGUGAGCGAGUUCCAACAAUUGGUAUCAGAGCAAGGUUGAUUUGAAGCCGCUCUUGCCCCGGGGUGGCGAUCUGCUAGCUCCUCGGGGCGGGCGAUAUGGUCGUUGGGUGGUGCAGCGACGAGGAAGAGCGGGCGAUGAAGUCGUUGGGUGGUGCAGCGACGAGGAGGAUCACGUGAUCGUCGUUCGGUGGAGCGACAAGGAUGAAGGCGAUAGGCUAUCGUCGGCAAGGUGGUGGAAGGAGGUCGUUGAUGGGAGAGGUGGUGCCGAGGUGCGGCGCUGGAGCUCAUCAAGAUCGUCGUCCGAGGGAUUCGGAUGAGUGAAGGAGUCGUGCGAGAUUGCACGAUCAGUCGUCGUUGCGUCUGUGAGUCAUCGUCGUGUCCAAGUGCUCGUCUUGGUGAUGAUUCGUUGAAGUGGAAGCGGUGUGCAUGAUGUUCCGUGAGUCAUGUCCAUGUCCUCGUGGAGCAUCCUGGUUGUGGCCAGUGUGGAUUCGGUAUGGUGCCGAAGGCGGACGGUGGUAGGCGAAGCCAUCGUAAAGCGAGGAGAUGUGCGAGCAGUGGAGAGUGGAUCUACUGUAAGCAAGUACAAAGAGUAUGGUGCGGACCGAGUGCAAGGCAGCGGCCAAGCAAUGGCGGUGGCACAACAUUGUAGAGCAAGGAGGUUUUGCAUGUUUUCAGGCGGGUCGUACUCAGUGUACGGAUAUGGCAGUUGAAGAUUAAGCUCGGCGUGUAGUGGGAUAGUGACCAGUUAAGUUGAUGACAUGAAGAUUGAUGGUCGUCCAAUAUCGGAAGAAGCGCGAGGAAGGUGACAAGUCAAGAUUAGAAAGAGAUUGUUAGUAUAAUCUUGAUUGUUAGGUUUGGAUAGUAGUGUUUGUGUUAGACUAAGUAUUAGACGUGUAGGAUUAGCAGCCGUGCCUAAGUAGUACUCCUACGUACUAGUAUAGUAGUCCGGCUAGGAUUUGUACAUUGUCUAGUACGUGUCGUAGGAGUUUGAGUCUGGUUAGAAGUUCAAGUAGAAGUACUAGUAGGUUUCGGUGUAGCUGGUCGUGGCUUGGCUGUGUCAUAUAUAUAUACAGUCCAGGCGUCAGAUUG